rnacentral:rRNA from 1 species
UUAUAAUAUAGAAUUUAAUUUUUUAUUUAAAAAGUUAAAAUAUAUUAAAAAGACGAGAAGACCCUAUAGAGUUUUAUAGUUAAAUUUAAUUAGGGUUAUUUAUAUUAUUAAAAUUAAAAUUAAUUUAAUUAUUAUAUUGGGGUGAUAGAAAAAUAUAAAAAACUUUUUAUAUAUGUUAAACCAUUAAUAAGUGAUUAAAUGAUCCAAUAUUAUUGAUUAUAAGAAAAAGUUACCUUAGGGAUAACAGCGUAAUUUUUUUUUUUAGUUCAUAUAAGAAAAAGAGUUUGCGACCUCGAUGUUGGAUUAAGAUAAAAUUUAAAUGUAGAAG